UAAGGAAUAUUGGUCAAUGGACGCAAGUCUGAACCAGCCAUGCCGCGUGAAGGAUGAAGGUCCUCUGGAUUGUAAACUUCUUUUAUCUGGGACGAAAACGGGAUUUUUAUCUCAAUUGACGGUACCAGAGGAAUAAGCACCGGCUAACUCCGUGCCAGCAGCCGCGGUAAUACGGAGGGUGCGAGCGUUAUCCGGAUUUACUGGGUUUAAAGGGUGCUCAGGCGGAUUUGUAAGUCAGAGGUGAAAUCUUACAGCUUAACUGUGAAACUGCCUUUGAUACUGCAAGCCUAGAGUAUGGAAGAGAGUGAUGGAAUAUCUGGUGUAGCAGUGAAAUGCGUAGAUAUCAGAUAGAACACCAAUGGCGAAGGCAGUCACCUGGUCCAUUACUGACGCUAAAGCACGAAAGCGUGGGUAGCAAACA
rnacentral:rRNA from 1 species